rnacentral:snoRNA from 1 species
AUCUUCUCAUUGAGCUCCUUUCUGUCGGCUGGUGGCAGAUUAUGGAUUCGCACGAGAAGAAGAGAAAGUUCACAGAACUAGCACUUAGCUUCUGUUUUUAUAAACAGAGGUAUAUUUGGCUGUUGUGUGAGACAUUC